CAGGACAGAUGAAAACAGGUUAAAUGAAGAAGCAGAUGGAGCCCAAAAGCUUUUGGUGAAGGCCAAAGCAGCUGAGAAAGCAGCAAAUAUUCUAUUAAAUCUUGACAAAACAUUGAACCAGUUACAACAAGCUCAAAUCACUCAAGGACGGGCAAACUCUACCAUUACACAGCUGACUGCCAAUAUAACAAAAAUAAAAAAGAAUGUGCUGCAGGAAUUUGUUGAGCUGAAAAAACAAUAUGCUAUUCUCCAACGUAAGACAAGCACUACAGGACUAACAAAGGAGACAUUAGGAAAAGUUAAACAGCUAAAAGAUGCGGCAGAAAAAUUGGCUGGAGAUACAGAGGCCAAGAUAAGAAGAAUAACAGAUUUAGAAAGGAAAAUCCAAGAUUUGAAUCUAAGUAGACAAGCAAAAGCUGAUCAACUGAGAAUAUUGGAAGAUCAAGUUGUUGCCAUUAAAAAUGAAAUUGUUGAACAAGAAAAAAAAUAUGCUAGGUGCUAUAGCUAGGCAGAGUUAAAGAGCAAAAGCUUGUGCCUUUGUUUCUGGUUUCUGAUGUACAAGCCCCUGGGGCUCUGUUGAACCUGUGAAAUACUGACAAUGUCUUCUACCUUCCUUCCCCACACCCUGUCCUUAUUAGACACCUGCUCAGUGUGGCUGGAGGUUGAAAUGCCACCAGGAAAAUGCCACUUCAUAAUUGAAAGGGGAAAGUAAUGAAAUUGUCUCUGGUUUCAGAAA
rnacentral:lncRNA from 1 species